rnacentral:rRNA from 1 species
UACAGAGGUCCCGAGCGUUGUUCGGAUUCGCUGGGCGUAAAGCGUGCGCAGGCGGUGAUGUAAGACAGAUGUGAAAUCCCCGGGCUCAACCUGGGAACUGCAUUUGUGACUGCAUCGCUGGAGUGCGGCAGAGGGGGAUGGAAUUCCGCGUGUAGCAGUGAAAUGCGUAGAUAUGCGGAGGAACACCGAUGGCGAAGGCAAUCCCCUGGGCCUGCACUGACGCUCAUGCACGAAAGCGUGGGGAGCAAACAGG